ensembl:lncRNA
GACGGGGCUUCUGUCUCGCUGCUUUCCUGCCUCACUCUCUCCCUGCCUGCUUCCCUGCCUUCCUCUCUGCUUUCCUGCCUCCUUCGCUCCCUCAGGGUUAGGGUUACGCCUAGGGUUAGGGUCUCGGAAACCACAAAGCCCACAGCUCCAGGCACACUGCAGCCGCGAAAGGCAGCCCAAGGGGAGCGCAAAACUGCCCCAACGCGCCUGCCUCCACGGCUUUUUCCUCAGAGGCAGCCCUAGGCCAGGGGCUAGGGCUUCCUGCCUCCCUCUCUCCCUGCCUGCUUCCCUGCCUUCCUCUCUGCUGGCUUGCUUGCUUUCUUUCCCCCGUCCCUGCUGGCUUUCCUCCCUCUCUCCCUGCCUGCCCUCCCGUUCUCUUCCCUCCCUGCCUGCUUUCCUCCCUGCCUCCCUUACACUGAAAUAAAGACUUGCAUUCAUUUGAGCCUUCUGAGAAUUUCCAGCACGUGUCACGAUGCGCUGAGAUGUCGAAUUCCUGUGAAUUCACACAGUUUUGUUGUUUCUUUUCAGAGAAACGCGUGUGUCUGUGGUUUACACUACAGCCAUGAUAACUCCUCUUGUUGUGAGAUUAUUUGUAAGAUGUAUGCUAUUCAAAGGGUCUUUGAUAAUAAGCACGUUUGAGUACUUUGAUUGGCUUGAUAUAAAUAUAUAUUUAUAUGUAUAUUAAAAAGAAAAGCACAUUCAGAGUGGCAAGCCAGUCUGAAUUGGAAAAACCUUGCAACAGGGAGUUGCUAGAAAGCAUUUGAAACUUAAAUGUAGAUCUGAAAUAUUGCAGGGCUUGUAGUGCUUUAUUAUGGAACUGUUCAUUUGAAAGGUUGUUUUUGCUGGAUUUUCCCCCAAUUUUAGGUAACAGUGGAUAAUACAAGUAGGAACUUGGAUGAAAUUUCAAGGCCUGCAUCUAGCUCAACCUAUUUGUAGAUCUUUAAGUACAUCAAUGGAGUUAACAACACCAGAACCAUGUUUGCAAGAGGUUGAUUCACCCGUCAGUUUGGCUGAUGGUUAUCAGAGAGGUGGUCUAGAAGAUGGCUGUCCAGCAGAAAACAAAGGUGAUGACAGAGAUAAAUCUGAUGCCCAGGAAGUAAGAACUGAUCAGCAAACAGUGGAGAGUGUGACCAUCUCUCUUCACAAGUGUCUAUGGAAUCCCGAUGAGUUGUCAGGAUGUACCUCUGCUUCAGAUUCUCGAGAUGAAAGCACUGAAACACAAAUGUUGAAAUUCUGUGAACCUUCUCCAGGACAACCAAGAAAUGCAAAGUCAGAUACAACUUCACAAACUUUGAAAUCUUGUGAGCCUUCCCCAGGAAAACCAGACUUGUCUGACUUGGAAUGUCCUGAAGACAUGGACACAGAUGCUCGGAUUCAAGCAGCUAUAAGGAAAAUGCAUAAACUUGACACAAUACUUGAAAAACGGUGUUUUAAGGAAAAAGCAGUUAAAAAGCAAGGCAGAGAAAUGAGGGCAAUGCUCUGGGAAGAACUUCAGUGUAUCAGAACCACAGGAAGCAAUGAGGAGGUGGAAAACACAAACCAGUUAUUAGUGUUCUCACCAUGGCAUAAUACAGCUGAUCUCUCCCAUGCUAAAGAAGAUGAAAUAUGCACUUCAGUAUUUCACAUGCACGCAAAUCCUGAAGAUUAUAAUUGCCAUAAAGCCCAAGAAAACCAGGGUAAGCUUUAUUAAUGGUAGAGUUUGCAUUUUUAGAAAUGGCAAAACGACAUGUGCAAUGGGUGGGUAAUGAAGACUCAGCCUAUUUGGC